rnacentral:snRNA from 18 species
AGGAGUGCGACGAGCUCACAUGCCCGUUUCUUGCCUUUUACCAGACACGGCCGGAGAUCGCGCCUUAUACUCCACUUCUAAUCUUUGGAAAACCAAUUGAACUCGCGUUC